rnacentral:rRNA from 1 species
UACGUAGGUGACAAGCGUUGUCCGGAUUUACUGGGCGUAAAGAGCGCGCAGGCGGUCGUUCAAGUCGAGUGUGAAAGCCCCCGGCUCAACUGGGGAGGGUCAUUCGAUACUGAUCGACUCGAAGGCAGGAGAGGGUAGUGGAAUUCCCGGUGUAGUGGUGAAAUGCGUAGAUAUCGGGAGGAACACCAGUGGCGAAGGCGACUACCUGGCCUGUUCUUGACGCUGAGGCGCGGAAGCUAGGGAGCAACGGG